rnacentral:lncRNA from 12 species
AUUUAUCACUUUAAUGAAGGGACCAUGAGGUUCAUGAAGUUCAUGAGUCAUAUGAACUGUUCCCAGCUCUGAGAUCAUUGCUGAGACUUGGAGUAAGGGAGAGAUUGAUGUGAGGAUCUACACAGCAAGGAAGAGCAUAAGAAACAUAAGUGAGGU